rnacentral:rRNA from 1 species
UGGGGGAUAUUGCACAAUGGGCGAAAGCCUGAUGCAGCGACGCCGCGUGGGGGAUGAAGGCCUUCGGGUUGUAAACUUCUUUUGCUCUGAACAAGGCAUGCCUUUGGGGUGUGUUGAGUGUAGGGGUUGAUUAGCGCCGGCUAACUACGUGCCAGCAGCCGCGGUAAUACGUAGGGCGCGAGCGUUGUCCGGAAUUAUUGGGCGUAAAGGGCUUGUAGGUGGCUGGUUGCGUCUGUCGUGAAAGCUCAUGGCUUAACUGUGGGUUUGCGGUGGGUACGGGCUGGCUUGAGUGCAGUAGGGGAGGCUGGAAUUCCUGGUGUGUCGGUGGAAUGCGCAGAUAUCAGGAGGAAUACCGGUGGCGAAAGCGGGUCUCUGGGCUGUUACUGACGCUGAGGGGCGAAAGCGUGGGGAGCGAACAGG